GAUGAACGCUAGCGGCAGGCUUAAUACAUGCAAGUCGUGGGGCAGCGCAGGUAGCAAUACUGGGCGGCGACCGGCAAACGGGUGCGGAACACGUACACAACCUUCCGAGAAGUGGGGAAUAGCCCAGAGAAAUUUGGAUUAAUACCCCGUAACAUAACGAUGUGGCAUCACAUUGUUAUUAUAGCUUCGGCGCUUCUUGAUGGGUGUGCGGCUGAUUAGAUAGUUGGCGGGGUAACGCCCACCAAGUCUACGAUCAGUAGCUGAUGUGAGAGCAUGAUCAGCCACACGGGCACUGAGACACGGGCCCGACUCCUACGGGAGCAGCAGUAAGGAAUAUUGGUCAAUGGGGCGCAAGCCUGAUCCAGCCAUGCCGCGUGUGUGAAGAAGGCC
rnacentral:rRNA from 1 species